rnacentral:rRNA from 1 species
AUACGUAGGUGGCAAGCGUUGUCCGGAAUUAUUGGGCGUAAAGCGCAUGUAGGCGGUUUGGUAAGUCGGUCGUGAAAAUGCGGUGCUUAACGCCGUAUGGCGAUUGAAACUGCUGAACUUGAGUGCAGGAGAGGAAAGGGGAACUCCCAGUGUAGCGGGGAAAUUCGUAGAUAUUAGGGGGAACACCAGUGGCGAAGGCGGCUUACUGAACUGUAACGGACACUGAGGCUCGAAAGCGUGGGGAGCAAACAGGAUUAGAUACCCUGGUAGUCCACACUGUAAACGAUGAAUGCUAGGUGUAAGAGGUAUCGACCCCUGUUGUGCCGGAGUCAACACAAUAAGCAUUCCGCCUGGGGAGUACGGCCGCAAGGUUGAAACUCAAAUGAAUUGACGG